rnacentral:rRNA from 1 species
CGUACACUCCUACGGGAGGCAGCAGUGGGGAAUUUUGGACAAUGGGCGAAAGCCUGAUCCAGCCAUGCCGCGUGCAGGAUGAAGGCCUUCGGGUUGUAAACUGCUUUUGUACGGAACGAAACGGCCUUUUCUAAUAAAGAGGGCUAAUGACGGUACCGUAAGAAUAAGCACCGGCUAACUACGUGCCAGCAGCCGCGGUAAUACGUAGGGUGCAAGCGUUAAUCGGAAUUACUGGGCGUAAAGCGUGCGCAGGCGGUUAUGUAAGACAGUUGUGAAAUCCCCGGGCUCAACCUGGGAACUGCAUCUGUGACUGCAUAGCUAGAGUACGGUAGAGGGGGAUGGAAUUCCGCGUGUAGCAGUGAAAUGCGUAGAUAUGCGGAGGAACACCGAUGGCGAAGGCAAUCCCCUGGACCUGUACUGACGCUCAUGCACGAAAGCGUGGGGAGCAAACAGGAUUAGAAACCCCUGUAGUCC